rnacentral:rRNA from 1 species
UACGGGGGGAGCAAGCGUUGUUCGGAUUUACUGGGCGUAAAGGGCGCGUAGGCGGCCAGCACAAGUCAGUUGUGAAAUCUCCGAGCUUAACUCGGAAAGGUCAACUGAUACUGUGCGGCUAGAGUGCGGAAGGGGCAACUGGAAUUCUUGGAGUAGCGGUGAAAUGCGUAGAUAUCAAGAGGAACACCUGCGGCGAAGGCGACUCUUUGGUCUGUAACUGACGCUGAGGCGCGAAAGCGUGGGGAGCAAACAGG